AUGCGGUGUUCUUGGAAUGACUUGUGAUCACACGAUGAAUAAGUAUAGGGAACCGAUUUUUUUCCUCUCCACAGUGAUGGACCGUCCAAACACUUGAUGUAUCGCAUGCGUUGCAGUGAAGCACGUUAUUAUCGUUCGAAAAAGUUUCGUCUGGGAAAAAAAAUCACAGAUUAAAAUUUUAUUUGAACUGUAUCGCGGCUACUUUAGGCAUUGUUUGACAUUCGGUUUUCGAUUUAUAAUUCAAUGAUUAUUUUCACGCGAACGCGAACGCCAGUACUGGCGCUGUUGAAAAUUCGUGAAUAUAUU